ensembl:lncRNA
AUAUAUAUAAUUUUUUUUUCAAAAAGGUAACUUGAAUGAACUGAACUGCUCGCUUGUGUAGUAUGUUGUGAGUAAGUUGAUUAUUAUGGAAGCUAAAGCACUUCUCGAUAUAAUAAUCUAAUGUUCCCUCUCAGGAGCAAACCCAGGUUUUUUUUCAUUUCACUAUUUGUCUAAACACUCACAAUGUUGUUUACCCGUGAGGAGUGUGAACUGACAAUGAAGUUCCAAGACUGUAGAUAAACUUUUAAAAGAAAUCACAGUUGUAAUUGUGAAAUUCAAUGUUGAUUAAUACAAAUCCAAUGUGUGAGAGAAAUGAACUGUUUUUAUCAUGUAAAUAUAUGCUUUUCUGAGAUUUUAUCCACUUUUUAUGACCUUUUAUCUAUGACAUUUCUGAAGACAAAUCACACUACACCGCAAAAAGCGACGUCUUAGCAACUGACAAUAUCUUGAAUAUAGUCAAAUGUAUCUAUUUCCUAUUAUUAUAAGAUCACAGUGAACCAAAUAUAAGAUUAUUAAACCUAUUUCAAGCUAAUUUUUACUCGUUUCAAGCUUUCUUAUUCUAUUGGCAGAUCAUUUUGUUUCUUUCUAGAAAUAUAUGCUUAAAUUUUCUCCCAGUAGAACAAGACUAUUUCAGGUUAUAUUUCUUAUAAUAAGAGAUGCUAGAUAAAAUGUGACUAUAUUCAAAAUAUUUCCACUUGCCAACAUGUCAUUUUUUUGCAGUGUAUAAUACUGGACUGUCCUUAUUAUUCAGAUAAACAGGCACCUUCUGAUAUGUUUUUGUAGUAUAUAAUAUACUUAAUAUGUACAUAAAUCUGUGCAUGUUAUCCACGGGUUAUCAGUCAUGUUUGUGAAAUCUUUGCCUCGUCCUUCAGACAUUUUGAAAAGAUUUUUUGUUGGUAAUAUACCAAAGUCAAUUUGUGGGAAUGAUAUAAUCAGAUAAUAAGCAAAUUUUGUUUGUAAUGUCUGUUUAGUUUUGAAAAGUAAUAUAUUUUAAUUAAUAUAUUUUAAUAUAAAAAAAAGAUUAUUUACAAUCAAUUUUAGAUAACAUUUAAACAAACAGGGUAUUUAAUAUGUCUUCUUUAUAUUUCCUGUCCCAUUUUGUAAUGCCUCGAUCCAGGGUGUACAUAACACUUUAUACAAAUUUGGUUUGUACCAGAAUUCCCAUGAAUCUAUUUUAGGUGAUUUAGUCUUACCUGGAAUGCACAUUUUAUGUACUACUCAAGUGAGUUUUUCUCUGAAUGAAAAUAACUUUGUGUGGCAUUAGCUGGCGUCAUUACAGUUUACUUUCGAAGUCAGAAUCAUAACUGAAGAUGUUACCCUCUCUUAUUCUUCCUAUAUUUACUUUAGCCAAAACAAAACAUCUCUCUGUAUCUGAUUUAGACACACCUCUGUACAUUAACCUGAUGGCAAAAAAUGUCAAUAAUGGUCAUAAAAUCACAUAUUAGACGUAAUAACAUGGCAUCUUCAUCUUAGGAACGUAUUCUUUACACAAUCUGUGACGUCAAAUGCAAUCUUUUCUCAUAACUGUGGCAAUCGCAAAACCCAGUGGAGUGUGCCUCCUUUUAAUGUGUUGGUUUUGUUUAAUAUUCUACAGUUCUAUGUAAAAUAUAAGUGAAUGUAAUAAACAUAACUGUAAUCAUCACUUGUAAGUAAAAGUGUGUUUUAUCUAAAUAAUAACAAUAAAAUGCAUCAAUUGAGCAAA